rnacentral:misc_RNA from 1 species
UUGUGGAGGAGGACGCCGAAGGUGGGGCUAAUGACUGGGGUGAAGUCGUAACAAGGUAGCCGUACCGGAAGGUGCGGCUGGAUCACCUCCUAACAGGGAGACAACAAAAUGUUUAAUAUUAUUAUUUUGUCACCUUAGGUCGAUCGGUAUCUCACGUUCUUAAUUAAUUAAGGAUUUCAAUUUCUAAGUUUUUCUAGGUCACACCCAUUAUUUUUCCUGGGCCAUUAGCUCAGGUGGUUAGAGCGCACCCCUGAUAAGGGUGAGGUCCCUGGUUCAAGUCCAGGAUGGCCCAUAUCUCUAUGUUGGGGGUAUAGCUCAGUUGGUAGAGCGCCUGCUUUGCAAGCAGGAUGUCAGCGGUUCGAGUCCGCUUACCUCCACUGAUUACCACCUCUUCCAUAAUUUGUAUAAGGGAAAUGUUUUGAGUUGUGAUCAAAUCCUGAACGAAUCUAGCUUCCUAAUGAAAGCAUUAAGAUGCUGGACUCAUUGAAUUAAUUUCAUUGUUUUCAGAGAACCUUGACAACUGCAUAGAUUAUUUUUUAAAGACAAUAAGCAUCUUUAAUGAUGCAGAUUUAUUAUUUGUGCGAAUGCAUUAAUAACAAUUCUAUUAAGCUGAUGCUUCAAUUUUGAAGUUAUUGGUCAAGCUACAA